UCUCCGUUGGUGAACCAGCGGAGGGAUCAUUACAGAGUACUAUACUCCAAAACCCCUGUCGACCUUACCGGGACGGGGCGGCGGCAGGCGGCCCCGGGGAGGGGCCGUUGGGGGCCUGCCGGAGGUAUUUCCAAACUCUUGUUUUAUAAACCUAAAUCUUCUGAGUUAUGACUUUUAAAUAAGUCAAAACUUUCAACAACGGAUCUCUUGGUUCUGGCAUCGAUGAAGAACGCAGC
rnacentral:misc_RNA from 1 species